rnacentral:misc_RNA from 1 species
AAGUCGUAACAAGGUUUCCGUAGGUGAACCUGCGGAAGGAUCAUUAAAAAAAUCUUUAAAUAUAAGGAGAACCGCAAGGUUCUCUAACUAUUUUGUGAAAAGUGUGAAUAGUUAUGGUGGGUGGGGAUAAGAUAUUGAUUGUGUGUGCUGUAGGUGUGUGAUGCAUGCCGGUGCAUAUGUAAUUGGUUGAUAUUUUGACUUGCUGUAACUAUUUAUUUUAAAUACAUGUUAUAUAUUGAUGAAGUAUGUGUAAAUAUAUAUAGAGUAUCAAAGGGGUUCGAUGUUAUCAGUCCUUUUGGUAUGAUAUAUAAUAUAAUAUAUAUACAACUUUCAACAGUGGAUCUCUCGGCUCUU